CGCCUGAUGUUCAUAUGAUGAAAUCAUAAUCUUUCAGUCAGUUUAAUUGAAGUCUGGAGAUGGCAUGUCAGUUAACUGCUAGUAGUCUGUUGUUAUUUAUGUAUUAUUGUCAUUUUGUUUAUUUUCUUUGGUUACAUCUUCUGACAUCAGACUCGGACUUCUCUUGGACUGAAUUUUAAUGUGCGUAUUGUUAUGCGUUUACUUUUC
rnacentral:lncRNA from 1 species